AUUGAACGCUGGCGGCAGGCCUAACACAUGCAAGUCGAACGGUAACAGGGAUCAGCUUGCUGCUUCGCUGACGAGUGGCGGACGGGUGAGUAAUGUCUGGGAAACUGCCUGAUGGAGGGGGAUAACUACUGGAAACGGUAGCUAAUACCGCAUAACGUCGCAAGCCCAAAGAGGGGGACCUUCGGGCCUCUUGCCAUCGGAUGUGCCCAGAUGGGAUUAGCUAGUAGGUGGGGUAACGGCUCACCUAGGCGACGAUCCCUAGCUGGUCUGAGAGGAUGACCAGCCACACUGGAACUGAGACACGGUCCAGACUCCUACGGGAGGCAGCAGUGGGGAAUAUUGCACAAUGGGCGCAAGCCUGAUGCAGCCAUGCCGCGUGUAUGAAGAAGGCCUUCGGGUUGUAAAGUACUUUCAGCGGGGAGGAAGGGAGUAAAGUUAAUACCUUUGCUCAUUGACGUUACCCGCAGAAGAAGCACCGGCUAACUCCGUG
rnacentral:rRNA from 1 species